CCACCUUUUAAAACGCGUCAAAGCGUAACCUUAACCCCCAAAAUUCCAUUAAUUUUCAUGAACCCCUAAUUUAUAAUGAAUGACUCCAUAUUUAUAUGGAAGACACCAUGCUAGGAUUAGUAACAAGAAUUUAUAAUUCUCCAAAAUGCAAAUAUAAACCAACAUGGAUGGACCAUUGGUAGUUACCGAACCUAAAUUUUAUGCAAUAACACCCACAAGAAAACUCUGCAGUACUUACUCGUUAACCUAACACCAGCGCAUUACAGGAAAGAUUUAAAAAAAGAGAAGGAAUUCGGCAAAUGACGGCCCCGCCUGUUUACCAAAAACAUCGCCUCUUGACUUAUAAUAAGAGGUCCAGCCUGCCCAGUGAAUUUUAAACGGCCGCGGUAUUCUAACCGCGCGAAGGUAGCAUAAUCACUUGUUCUUUAAAUGGGGACUCGUAUCAACGGCAUCACGAGGGUUUUACUGUCUCCUCUUUUUGAUCAGUGAAAUUGAUCUUCCCGUGAAGAAGCGGGAAUAAAUUUAUAAGACGAGAAGACCCCAUGGAGCUUUAAACCAAAUAACAACUUAACCACUUAUCCCAUAAUAAAUUUAAACCCUGUUAUAAGGUUUUUGGUUGGGGUGACCGCGGAGUAAAGCACAUCCUCCACGACGGAAAGAACAAAAUCUUUAUUUAAGAACCACACUUCUAGAAAUUAGUAUACUAACGUUUACUGACCCGACAAUCGAUCAACGGACCAAGUUACCCUGGGGAUAACAGCGCAAUCUACUUCAAGAGCCCAUAUCGACAAGUAGGCUUACGACCUCGAUGUUGGAUCAGGGUAUCCCGGUGGUGCAGCCGCUACCGAAGGUUCGUUUGUUCAACGAUUAAAACCCUACGUGAUC
rnacentral:rRNA from 1 species